GAGGUAGAAGGAGAGGUGGAGAGAGAGAGAAGGAGAGGUAGAAGGAGAGGUGGAGAGAGAGAGAAGGAGAGGUGGAGAGAGGUAGAAGGAGAGGUGGAGAGAGAGAGAAGGAGAGGUGGAGAGAGGUAGAAGGAGAGGUGGAGAGAGGUAGAAGGAGAGGUGGAGAGAGAGAGAAGGAGAGGUGGAGAGAGGUAGAAGGAGAGGUGGAGAGAGAGAGAAGGAGAGGUGGAGAGAGAGAGAAGGAGAGGUGGAGAGAGAGAGAAGGAGAGGUGGAGAGAGAGAGAAGGAGAGGUGGAGAGAGGUAGAAGGAGAGGUGGAGAGAGAGAGAAGGAGAGGUGGAGAGAGGUAGAAGGAAGCAGAGAGAGGUAGAAGGAAGCAGAGAGAGGAAUUGAAAUCGAAGGAGGUAGAAAGGAAACAGUUUGCUCUGAAAGUGAUAUGAAAAGAUGUGAAAGUGUGUGUGUGUGUAUACAUUACGUGCC